UCAGGGCAGUCUGGAGACCGGCAGAGGCUGCCAAACCUUUUAUGGAUGGAGCUCAGGUGAACUGUUAGUCCGACAAGGUAACCCAGGAAGGAGAGAGGGAUCUGCUCACAGACACUGACUAAGCAUGCGUGAGAAGGAGGGCAGCACAGCUGAGGAGCAUUCUGGGGCCUCCUGCCAGAAGCGAAGAGGACAUAAGUAUUCCCAUUUAGAAGCCCAAAGUCAAUGAGAUGAAACCCAACAUCAAGAAAUUGAAGCGAAGUUACUUGUGGAUAAAGAAAGCAUUAGGCCUCUGUAUUCCCUGAGACACAACAGUAUUGAAAUUAGGCCAAUUAAUAAUCCUACAAUCGCCUCUAAGUAUUCAAAUGAAAGGACGAAUCACCUAUUUCUCACUUUACGUCAAAAGCUGGAAGUGAUUGAGCUGAGUGAGGAAGGCAUCCUGGAAACCAAGAUAGACGGGAAGCUAGGCCUCUUUCACCAAACAGUGGGCCAAGCUGUGCGUGCAAAGAGAAAGUUCCUGGAGGAAAUUGAAAGUGCUACUCCAGUAAACACACAAGUGAUGAGAAAGUGAAACAGCCUUAUUGCUGCUAUGGAGAAAGUUUGAGUGCUCCGGACAGAAAAUCAAACCAGCCACAACAUUCCCUUCAACCAAAGCCUAAUCCAGAGGAAGGCCCUAACUCUCUUCAGUUCUAUGAAGGCUGAGAGAGGUGAGGAAGCUGCAGAAGAAAAGUUGAAAGCUAGCAGAGGGUGGUUCGUGAGGUUUAAGGAAAGAAGCCAUCUCCAUAAAUUAGCUUUGAAACUUUUUGAAGCAGGCAUCCUCAGACUUUGCUUCAGUAACAUCUCCUUCUGCUCUUUCUCAUUUUCCCCUUGCUCACGCUUGUACCUGCCCAUCUUUCUCUAGUAUUAAAGUUUGGAUAAAUAUUUGAUCUUUGAAUAAUAUUCUAUACUGUUAUAUGCCUCUCAUUUUAUCCUCUGGACAAACUUGAGAGACAGUGCAAAAAUUUCUUUAUAUCUUUAUAAUAUAAAGAAUUAUGGCAAAUUUUUUAAAAAGUACCAGCUUUGUUGAGGUAUAAUUUAUGUAUAAUAAACUGCACCCUCUCCACCCCCUCCCCUCACUGUCUACCAAAACAUGUCUGAUGACACCUGGCAAUCUGACCCUACCUGGAAAACACCAUAGAGAAAGACAGCAAAGUGCUUCCUCACUCUGGAGUUCUAUUGGAUUUUAAUGGCCAUAGAUGUAGUAUGAGCCACACAAACCAGUACUAAAAUAGAGAAUUUUUUCCGGAAAAGGUAUGCAAAAAAAGCAUGUAAAUGAAAGCUUUUAUUUGUUUUAUUUUCAGCAACCAAGAUAUAAAAUUAUUAGGUAUGCCAUGAUACACAAACACUAACCACUGUACCAUCCUUUGAUGUUCAUUGCAACGGAUUCAAUGUUUGUGCCCCCCACACAAAUUCAUAUGUUGAAAUUCUAGCCCCGAAAGUGAUGAGAUUA